rnacentral:rRNA from 1 species
ACGGAGGAUGCGAGCGUUAUCCGGAUUUAUUGGGUUUAAAGGGUGCGUAGGCCGAUCGAUAAGUCAGCGGUGAAAUACCAUGGCCCAACCAUGGAACUGCCGUUGAUACUGUCGAGCUUGAAUAUGGUCAAGGUAGGUGGAAUGUGUAAUGUAGCGGUGAAAUGCGUAGAUAUUAGGAAGAACACCGAUUGCGAAGGCAGCUUACUGGACCAUUAUUGACGCUGAGGCGCGAAAGCGUGGGGAGCAAACAG